rnacentral:rRNA from 1 species
UACGUAGGUGGCAAGCGUUGUCCGGAUUUACUGGGCGUAAAGGGCGUGCAGGCGGUCUGUUAAGUGCAGGGUGAAAGCUCCCGGCUCAACUGGGAGAGGUCCUUGCAUACUGGCGGACUUGAGGGGGGUAGAGGAAAGUGGAAUUCCCGGUGUAGUGGUGAUAUGCGUAGAUAUCGGGAGGAACACCUGUGGCGAAGGCGACUUUCUGGGCCCUACCUGACGCUGAGACGCGAAAGCGUGGGGAGCGAACCGG